rnacentral:rRNA from 1 species
UGAGGAAUAUUGGUCAAUGGCCGAGAGGCUGAACCAGCCAAGUCGCGUGAGGGAUGAAGGUUCUAUGGAUCGUAAACCUCUUUUAUAAGGGAAUAAAGUGCGGGACGUGUCCCGUUUUGUAUGUACCUUAUGAAUAAGGAUCGGCUAACUCCGUGCCAGCAGCCGCGGUAAUACGGAGGAUCCGAGCGUUAUCCGGAUUUAUUGGGUUUAAAGGGUGCGUAGGCGGCCUUUUAAGUCAGCGGUGAAAGUCUGUGGCUCAACCAUAGAAUUGCCGUUGAAACUGGGGGGCUUGAGUAUGUUUGAGGCAGGCGGAAUGCGUGGUGUAGCGGUGAAAUGCAUAGAUAUCACGCAGAACCCCGAUUGCGAAGGCAGCCUGCCAAGCCAUUACUGACGCUGAUGCACGAAAGCGUGGGGAUCAAACA